rnacentral:lncRNA from 1 species
AAAAAGAAAAAAGAAAAAAAAAGAGGGAACGAUAAUGGAACAGAGAGCCUGAAUGCUCUCCUUUUGUUCCUUUCUCGGUCUUUAGGCUUAGACCUCCGUCUCCGCCUCCAUGGCCAGUGGCCGGAGUCGCGCGAGAACGGUCUCUCUCCUUGCGGCGUCCUCGAAGGCUAAGCCUUCUCAACCGCGAUAUCAAAAGGAAAAGGGAUGAACCGCCUCUUUCGGCCCAACUCCGACGACGGCGAGGGUAGGGCUCCGACACUAGCCCACCAAAGCAGUAAGGUAUUUCCUUUCCCUUUCAGUUCCUUUUACUUUGUUGAACAAUUGCAGAGAAAAAAAGAAAAAAUAAUAAAUAAAGAGUAAAGAAUAAGGAACCAGAACAGAGAAGAAAAAAAUGGGAGUCAACCUUUUUUGAUCUGUUUCUUUUUGAAUUUGAAAUGCCGUGUCCUUUUACAGAGAUAUUGUUUUUGCUUUUAUAUCCCAUUUACAAUGUAUUUUAAUUGUGUUCUUUGUAUUAUCCAUUGUGUACUCCGACUUUCUCUGCCAUUUCGCAGGUGUUGAUGGGGCUAGGCACGGUGGGUGGCGAUGGGACAUGGCAGACGGCAGAGGGGGGAUGCGGCGCUAGGUUUGGCUAGGUGGUUUAGGUUUAGGUGGGCCUUGGGUGUUUUAUUUGGGUUGGUUUUGGGUAGCGGGCCACCGGGUAAAUGGGCCUGCAACAGCUGCCCCUCUUUGCUCAUUGUCGUGUAACGAGAAUAGAGCAAAGACCAAGAAAGGCCAAUUUUGCCCGGUCGCCUGUUUUGGACUCGUCGUGGUGCUUUUCUUCUAGCAGCUUCACUCUAGUCUACUGUGUCUCGUUGCUUCAAUCCAUUCUGUCGUAACUUCAGGGGGUAAGGUCCGUCAUUUUGACCCGCUCCACUGCAACUUCAGGGGGAUAAGACUUGUUGUGUUCAGUCUAUUCCACUGCAUCUUCAGGGAAAUAAGACCUGAUGCGAUCUACUCUGCUGUAACCUCAGAGAGAUAAGAUCCUUUAUUUUAAUCCGCUCCACUGUAACUUCAGGGAGAUAGGAUAGUGUCUUCGAUCUGCUCCGCUGUAAUCUCAGGGAGAUAAGAUCUC